AUGUUGAUUGUACCGAACGAAGGAUUUGCCUUAUCACGAAAGCCACAUUCGUUUCGUUUGAGGAAGUCACACGUCCUGUUCCCUAUAAAUAAGGAGAUUCGUUCUUUUUUUUUCAGAAAUCCCCUCUUCUUCCUCCUCAAGCCCCUAUCACAAGACCAAGCGGAUCUCAUCCUGCAGAAGACUCAGAGCGGAUCUAUCUAA
rnacentral:rRNA from 1 species